GCGGUUACCGUAUAUACUCGAAUAUAACGCGCCCUCGAUUGUAACGUGUACCCUUUUCUCGAGGUCCGAAAAAAGAAAAAACGCCAUGACUUCGAUUGUUACGCGCGCCAGAUUUUGUAGGUUAAAUACAGAAAUUAAACUUUUUCUCACUUGGAACAAAGGUUUAUUCCGAAUGCUUCAAUCUUGCGAUGAAAUGAACGGCGCUGUCUCUCGCCGGCAAGGUCGUCAUCAUGGCGACGGUCUGGUGCAGCGCUCGUGGGACAGUACGCAUCACUCGUCAUUGUUGUCGGACAACUCCUUAUCGCUGUCAACGGCCCAAAGCGUUUCAUCUUCGGUGCCGUCCAUAGCGUUAGGAAUUCCGCACUUCUUGAAGGCCUUGAUAACCAUGGCAGACGGGAUCGUGCACCAUGCAUCUUUCACCCAUCGCACGUGAUGCGGCCCAAUUUCCAUCGCUCUCUGCGUGGCCUGAUGUACUAUGAGAGGGCAAAGAAGCCAGAGCCUGAACGUCGCCCGAUCCUGGAGCUCCAGACGGUAGUCCGCGACAUCCUAAAAGACUUCUUGCCUGAUGUUGCGAGGCAGGGCAGAAGGAGGGUCGCUCCGAAAGAAUAAAAUGGCAGUGAUUCCUUA